AAUAGAUACCCAGGUAGUCCAUGCCGUAAACGAUGAUUACUAAGUGUUGGAGGGUUUCCGCCCUUCAGUGCUGCAGCUAACGCAUUAAGUAAUCCGCCUGGGGAGUACGACCGCAAGGUUGAAACUCAAAAGAAUUGACGGGGGCCCGCACAAGCGGUGGAGCAUGUGGUUUAAUUCGAAGCUACGCGAAGAACCUUACCAGGUCUUGACAUCUUCUGCCAACCUAAGAGAUUAGGCGUUCCCUUCGGGGACAGAAUGACAGGUGGUGCAUGGUUGUCGUCAGCUCGUGUCGUGAGAUGUUGGGUUAAGUCCCGCAACGAGCGCAACCCUUAUUACUAGUUGCCAGCAUUCAGUUGGGCACUCUAGUGAGACUGCCGGUGACAAACCGGAGGAAGGUGGGGACGACGUCAAAUCAUCAUGCCCCUUAUGACCUGGGCUACACACGUGCUACAAUGGAUGGUACAACGAGUCGCGAAACCGCGAGGUUUAGCUAAUCUCUUAAAACCAUUCUCAGUUCGGACUGUAGG
rnacentral:rRNA from 1 species